GACGACCGGUUCUCUCUGGCCGCAGAGGCCCCAGAGGGCAGCUGAGGACAGCGACGGGAACCCCGCAUGGGCACGGUGAGGAGGAGGCCUGUGGCACCUCGUUCCGGACGCACCUUCCAAGUGAAUCUGCCUGUUGCAGAUGAGAAAGCUGUAGGGUUCUGUAAGAAAUGCAAAGUUACAUCCUGUCCCAAGGCAGGUAAGCAUCCUGGUAACCAAACCCACGUGACUAGACUGAAAAGCCACUCUUCCUCUGCCCCUGGACGACCAGGGCGGAGGAGACCUUUCUUCUCAUUGUAAACUUCACAUUUCAAGCACCACCAGGCUGUCCCUACGUUAUAGUAAGUGACCCCUGGAGGAGGGCAUGACAACCCACCUCAGUGUCCUUGCCUGGAGAAUCCCCAUGGACAAGAGGAGCCUGGUGGACUUCAGUCCCUGGGGUCUCAAAGAGUUGGACACAGCUAAGCACAGCACAUAGUAAGUGACACAAAAUGCUACUGCAUAAUGCUACUAAGAAAAGGACUGUUUUAUUCUGAGCAUGGUUUGUUUCUAAAAGAUGAACACGCAAAUAAAAAAUAGCAGCACAGAUGGUCAUAGGCAGUUCUGUGUCAUCACCAAGAACCCCUGAAAGGACCAAUUUGGCACUGAACCUUGGCUGUGAUCAUCACAGGUCAUCAACAGCGGCCCCAGAAUGGUUCCUCAGCAUUUCUAGACGUGGGUUUCUGGAUGCAGAGAGUGUGAACAUCACUUCUUCCCAGAGUCCUCAGGAAGGCGAGUGGACACAUGGGCGGGGAGCCUGAAGCCCAGGAGCUGGAGGACAGAACCGCAGUUUGCAUUUUCAGGAGAUUGCUCUGGGGGGACUCUCCUGCUUGACGCACAGGCAUCAGCUCUUGGGUAUUUAGGGCUUCAUAAAACCCUCUGUGCCUCUGUGGAGAACAUUUACUCAUCUAGUCAAACCUGGAGCCUCAGCAAAGACUGAUGCUGAAAAGAAGUCAUGCUGGUCAAUGGUGGGCUGUCAGAAGAACUCUACAAAUAGGUAUUUAUGAUAAACAGGGUCAGCAAGGCCGACUGUUGCAUUAUUUUUGGACCAGAACCUUGGUAGCACUUUUGCAAUUAUGAGAUGAAAUUACUGCGUAUCUUGUUCUUUGCAGUUUCUUUUUUGACUUUUAUUAGGACAGUGGACAUGUGUUUGAUAUCACUAUUUCGUGCUUUUUUUGUGCAUUAUUUUAGGCUUACUGUUUUGUCAUAAGUUCAUAUCACUGCUGUUUCACAAAAAAAAAGCACAAUCAGUUCAAAAUCAGAAAGUUAACAGCGGUUCCAUAGAGCACAGAUGGCGUGUUGUGAUGCUGUGAAGCCUGAGGGUGAGGCCGGAGCAGUGAGAGGAGUGAGCCGUCGAAAGGAGGGAGUCCUGGCCAAGGGCUUCGGGAAACACGCAAGCAGCAGAGGGAGGGAGGCUCUGUGCUGAAACCCUACCCCUGGCUGACGGUCAGUAAGCAAGGUGGCAAGGCUGGGAGGGGGAAGCCCCACGGGUGAUGUCGGGGCCCUUUCAAGGGGACCGUGCGCAGCUCCCCGGCCCCUUCACCACCUGGGGGCUCGGGUCUAUGAACCAGGAGGGGUUCCCGCCUCCAUCUCCCCACACAGUGAUCUCAGAUGUCCAGCCCACAGGACCGUGAGAAAUCCAUGUCCGCUAUUGGCAAGCCCCCUGUGUGUGGCGUCCUCUCAGGGAACUGACUGGGACAGGAGGUGGGAGCGGAGGGCUGGCGAGAGAGCAGCCAGUGAUCUUGGGACCAAGUGUUUUCCUGGAAAACCAAGGAGUGCAGAGUGAACCCAGAUCCCGGUGCCUCUGACAGGACAGUGGAAGGGCCUCCCUGGGUCUGCACACAGCAGCCAUCACUCAAGAGGACCUGUCAGGACAGCUAUAUGCAGCCCGGGUGCUCCGGGGUGGGGCUGAGAAGACCCGAAAGGUGGCUUGGAAGCAGACCCUGAUGACCUCAGGAGAAGGGGCCUCAGGAGGCGCCUCAGUGACCCUGCAUUCUCAUUGGCUCUCAGGCCCCCGCCACCUGUCAAUGGGCAGGUUGACUCACUGCGAGGAUGAACCAUCCCACCCUCACCCUCGGCCCUGCCAGCUUCUCCCACCGUCAUCUGGUCCAAGCUGCAGGAGGGCUUUCUUCCUGGGGGCCCUUCUGGGGUCUCCCCAGUUCUGGCUCCCCUGUCCCCCCAGAGUGAACUCGCCCCAUCUGCCUUUUGCUCCAGCUGGGCUCAGCCGGAGUUAAAUCUGCCUUUGGUCUGACAGUUGCCUCCUGAUUGUCUAUGCUUUGAAAUCCCGGGUCCCAGCACAGGCUGCGGGUUUUGGGGGUCUAUGGUUCAGCUGGUAAAAGAUCUGCCUGCAAUGCAGGAGACCCUGGUUCAAUUCCUGGGU